GUGGCAGGCGGCUGAGGGAGGGAUAUAAACAGGACAGAGCGCGGUCAGAGUGUAAGCUAGGACAAGGGAAUGCGGAAUGCCGGGAGGCUGGGGCCUUUGGUCAGGAGCACAGACAGGAAAACCAGGACCCUCCUGGCCCAGGAUCUUCACCACAGGUCCGAUACAAUGGAAAGAAGUGGAAACUGCUUUCUGGCCAGGAAUACACUGGGCGCGCUCCGUGUGCGUUCCCUGGAAGCCUGAACCGGCACGGAAAAUCAAAG